rnacentral:rRNA from 1 species
CCUACGGGAGGCAGCAGUGGGGAAUCUUGGACAAUGGGCGCAAGCCUGACCCAGCAACGCCGCGUGAAGGAAGGAGGCUCUCCGGUUUUAAACCUCUUUUGAUAGGGAAGAGUAGAAGACGGUACCUGACGAAAAAGCCACGGCUAACUACGUGCCAGCAGCCGCGCUCAGUAGUAGGUGGCAAGCGUUGUCCGGAUUUACUGGCUGUAAAGGGCGUGUAGCCGGGUUGACAAGUCAGGUGUGAAAUCCUGCGGCUUAACCCCCGAACUGCAUUUGAAACUGUUGGUCUUGAGUAAUGGAGAGGCAGAUGGAAUUCCUGGUGUAGCGGUGAAAUGCGUAGAUAUUAGGAGGAACACCAGUGGCGAAGGCGGUUUGCUGGACAGCAACUGACGCUGAGGCGCGAAAGCGUGGGGAGCAAACAGGAUUAGAUACCCUGGUAGUC